CUCGGUGAUUUGAGCGAAGCGGUCCGACCUGAUCCCAUCCCGAACUCAGUCGUCAAACGCUUUAGCGGGGACGAUAAUAUAUCCGCAAGGUUAUGUGAAAAUACCUCAUUGCCGGGA
rfam:Candidatus Daviesbacteria bacterium RIFCSPLOWO2_02_FTLL_36_7 rifcsplowo2_02_scaffold_42457, whole genome shotgun sequence.